rnacentral:rRNA from 1 species
GACGAACGCUGGCGGCGUGCUUAACACAUGCAAGUCGAACGGAAAGGCCCUGCUUUUGUGGGGUGCUCGAGUGGCGAACGGGUGAGUAACACGUGAGUAACCUGCCCUUGACUUAGGGAUAACUUCAGGAAACUGGGGCUAAUACCGGAUAGGAGCUCCUGCUGCGUGGUGGGGGUUGGAAAGUUUCGGCGGUUGGGGAUGGACUCGCGGCUUAUCAGCUUGUUGGUGGGGUAGUGGCUUACCAAGGCUUUGACGGGUAGCCGGCCUGAGAGGGUGACCGGCCACAUUGGGACUGAGAUACGGCGCAGACUCCUACGGGAGGCAGCAGUGGGGAAUAUGGCACAAUGAGGGGAAGCGUGAUGCAGCAACGCUGCGUGCGGAAUGACGUGUUUCGGGUUGUAAACCGCUUUCGCCUGUGACGAAGCGGGAUUGACGGUAACGGGUAAAGAAGCACCGGCUAACUACGUG